UACGGAGGGGGCUAGCGUUGUCCGAAGUUACUGGGCGUAAAGCGCGCGUAGGCGGGUUGGUAAGUCCGCUGUGAAAGCCCGGAGCUCAACUCCGGAGGGUCGGUGGAUACUGCCAGUCUUGAAGGUGCUAGGGGGAGAUGGAAUUACCGGUGUAGCGGUGAGAUGCGUAGAUAUCGGUAGGAACACCAGUGGCGAAGGCGGUCUCCUGGGGCAUUCUUGACGCUGAGGCGCGAAAGCUGGGGGAGCAAACGGG
rnacentral:rRNA from 1 species